AUCAAAUUCCACGUAUCACUUCACUUAAGUGGCGAAUUUCAUCACUCAUCUUUCUUUAUUUUUAUUUGAAGAUGUUUCGUCAAAAUGUUAUCAAUUAUUCUUAAGACAGUCAAAUCGAAGAAACGAGAACUUAAUUUUUAAGUGUUUGUGAUAUCGUUUUUGUUUUCCAUGUAACAAAACAAUAGACAGUUGAAAUUGACAUCGGUUGAACAUUCUCAAGUAAUGCUACAAAAUAGAUCCUGUUGGAGUAUUUCAGAGCUCUGAAAAAUGCGCUUAUGCAAACCUUUCGUCAAGCAAAAGGAUAAGCUGGUCAAAAUUCCAUUCAAGAGUAUCAUGUUUGCAGAAGUUCUAAUUCUCGGUAUCACACUGGCAUUAAGUUAUAUCUAUUACUCCCAUCCUUCGUUUUACUUUCAUGUUUCACUAGCUGGUCUCAUUGCCAUAUUGUCACUAACAACUUUUUGUUGCUGGUUGCAGGUUUUGUUUAUUUGCAAGCAUCAAGAUGAUCAAAAUAGUUUAGUAACAAAGUCAACCACUGAAAAAGAUUACCAAACGUCAAAUCCGACGAAUAGCAAGAGUACUACAGUUACUGUUUCCGCCAAUUAUCAGUAAAUGUUUAUCGGACUUAGUUGUAUUUAUUUUUUAACUAGCUCCAUAUCAAGCUUCACAUUGUAUCAGUUAUCUGUUCCAAUCAUUUUUAAAUAAAAUUUUCAUAACCAGUUU